UGGGACAUGAAGAUGAAAAUCAUCAUAAGAGCAAAAGAAGAUGAAUAUCGAUGAAUCAAACAAUGCAUUUGCACGGAUCCUUGUAAUUUACAUCAUUGGUAGUACAAAUCAGACCAUCCCGCAGCUUGCAAGUGCAACCAUAGUGGGUGCCUUACUUGCCGGGCACGAAGUUAGUGGCGAAUGCCCAUGCAUUGUUGUUGACUGGAUCGGCAAUAUGGUCAGCAAGAUUCUCGAGUGGGCCCUUGCCGGUGACAAUGGCUUGAACGAAAAAGCCGAACAUGGAGAACAUAGCAAGACGACCGUUCUUGAUCUCCUUCACCUUAAGCUCAGCGAAUGCCUCGGGGUCCUCGGCUAAGCCAAGUGGGUCAAAGCUGCCUCCAGGGUAAAGUGGGUCAACAAUCUCGCCAAGUGGGCCACCAGCAAUGCGGUACCCCUCGACGGCGCCCAUGAGCACAACUUGGCAAGCCCAAAUGGCUAGGAUGCUUUGCGCGUGGACGAGGCUGGGGUUGCCGAGAUAGUCAAGGCCGCCUUCGCUGAAGAUUUGGGAGCCGGCCUUGAACCAAACAGCCUCACCAAACUUGACGCCAUUGCGGGCGAGCAACUCGGGGAAGACACAACCAAGCGCACCAAGCAUAGCCCAUCGACAGUGGAUCACCUCCAGCUCACGGUUCUUGGCGAAGGUCUCAGGGUCAGCUGAGAGCCCGGCAGUAUCCCACCCAUAGUCACCAGGGAACUCGCCGGUCAAGUAGCUCGGUGGCUCACCUGAUAGCGGACCGAGGUAGAGCACACGAUCAGCACCGUACCAUGGGCUGCUAGAAGCAACUUGUUUUGCCUUUGCCGCAGUCUUCCGCAUAGUGACACGUGCCUCGCCAAAGAGAGCAGACAAUGCCAUAUUCUUCACUGCCUUGCCGGCAAAGGCUGAGGAGGAGAGGGACAUAGUGGUGGCCGCCAUUGCUCUGCUAAGACCGGAGUUAUCUCAGAGAGAGAGAGGCUUGAGUGUGAGAUGGCUUGAGAGGACAGAAUAGGAGGGUCCUAUUUAAGGCAGCAGCGAGCAGAGGCCACGGGGUGAGGGAUUGCCUGGGGUACGCUAGCUGACAAGGAGAUGGACAGAAAGAUAUCUGUAGCUGUGAUGCAAUUGGUGCAGCAAGAGCAUCAAGAGGAUCAGAUACACUUGUGGCUAUGGAUAACUGGCAAUCUCCUUAGUAAGAGGUGAUUGGGUUGUGUUGAUGUCAAGACCGACCUAGAGUCCUAGACUUCUUUUUUGAGACAACAGACAGUGUAAGCAUCAGCCGCACAAAUGCCAGGAUCAACGACCAAAGCAGACACUAGCAACCCAAGCAAAUAACAAAGCAGGGGCCAAAUUAAAAUAACAUGCAUGAAAGCCUCAACCAUACAUCAAAGAGCAAAGAAGGCCUGAUCUAGCCAUUUUCUGGAGUUGUGCAAAAAGAGUCAUCUGCGCUUUGUGACUAAACUAUGUUACCUGAUCCGAAGUGCCUAAAUUCAUGUUUUUCUUUGACUGGUUACCGAAGUUUAUAAUUCGAACAUGUGGCUGGUGUUAUGUGCAAGGUCUGGGCAUAUACAAUGGUGCAAAGUGCAACUGUGACACGAAUAGCGGUAAAAAGAAAUGCAGUUUAUACUUCAAGAAAAGAAGUACAGUUUAUACUAUUACAUAAAGUGCAGCAAAAAAUGCAGUAACGACCUCUCUUUUUUGCGAAUACACAAAGAUUGUAUAUUUUUUUAUUGAUAGGUUGGAGAGGACAAACAUUGGAAGAUAGAGGGAGGCACCACACUGCGUGUGGGUAGGAGCAGAACAGGGGGUGCUCAGCCCGCCAACAUGCAAAAUAAAAAUGAUUGAUUCUCAGUCGAUUGCACAAAUUUGUUCAUACAACUCGCAAAAAUAGCACUGUGCUAUUUUUCUUUAAUUUCCAGUGUUUGUUUACAUAGCUUAGAAAAAAAAUAAAAACUUGCACGUGAUCGAUGAUACUCCAGUAACGACUGAAAUUUAACUAAAUGUCAGUUGACCGAGCAUUGGUGAAUCCGGUAGAAAUAAAAUAUCAUGUACUCUUAGUUGGAUAUCUCUAUCAUAUUGUUACGUUUGCAGAAAGAAAUACAAUUGUAACCUUAAUUUUGUAGCCAAACGGCUAAAUAUAAUAUUUGCAUGGUUCACCAUUGUUGUGUGUUCAAUGUAAUAUGAUUGUCAUUGAUUUGAACUCGUUGGUUGCAUCAACUUCAAUAAAAAUCAUAACUUUGUUCGGAAGUAUGAUCUCAGUUUAAAAUAGUCAUAAAUACUCCAAGAAUGCUAGUCCUUAAUCCACACUUAGGUUUUGCAAAUCCUCGUUAUGAAUCAAUGUGCAUUUGAAUCAUAAAUGGAAAAUCUCAUGCAUGUUCGUUGAAUCAUUUGGUAUGGCAAACAUUGUAUACUCAAGGAACUUUUGCUUACAAUACAAUCUUCUCCGAAAUGCAACCAAGUAAAAAUGCCGCAAUUAUCAUUGUUGUGAUAAUAAUUAAUUAUAUAGGCGAGUCCUAUCUAGUCCUACUUGGCAAGUCAACAAUAGCCCCACGCGGACAACAUAGUCCAAGACAAUCAACGAAAGUCCAACCAACAUGUCAUGAUCAAAUAAGUCAAUGUGGAAAAAUGACAAGAAGAUGGAGUCAAAAGGAAUCGCUUGAGACAAAGAGACCCAAGCCAAGAAAGAAUCCUGACAUGGUGGAGAGAUGAGAGGGAAUGGUCCACCAACCACCAUAGACUAUGGACCUCCUUCCUUACUAGUCUAACAUGGACUAAAGAUUACCUCCACUACACUUCCCACCUACUAUAUCAAGGGUAGACUUCAUCAUUUGCCAAGGACCCCUAACCCUUAUAGCCCUCCCCCAUGGGCAUGUACUCCAUCCACUAUCACUUGAAUAAACUCGGGAGGGGGGGGAGCACUAGAGCUCCUAGAGAAAUAUCGUGGAGCCCUAGGGUCGACUUGGACCAAUGUUGAGGGAAGGAAAUAGGAGAGGGUGCCGACAAGACGCAUUCAACCAAUCUCCCUUGACACUUCCUAAUAUAGGACUAGGUCGCGUUCUGUCAAGGCAAACGAACCUAUUUUAAAAAUAUCGCCAUACCAAUCCAACGUUCAUCAUAAGGUCGUCGUAUGCACUCCUAAUCACGCGUUGUUUUUUACUACAAUAGCAAUCCCGUUGGGUAUCUCUACUAGCGACAUAUGAUUUUAAGCUAGAGAAUAGCUAGAAAAAACAUGAAAUGAUGAUUAAUCAAACAUGAUUUUUAUAGGCACACAUGAGUUUUCAAGGGGGGGAGUUUGAAGAUUCGGGGGAAGGGGAUGUGAGAGAGAAGGGAAAUUUUCUUAGUCCUUGUUUAUUCAAGACAUAUGGUUGUUUUGAAAUGGAGAUGAGGAGAAUCAGGUGAAGCCAUUGGAAUAUAUGUUGUUUUGCACCUGCAACAAUGGUGAUGCAAUCCCAAAAUUUCUUACAUUUCGUGUCACAUUAUGGUUGGUGCAACACUCUUGGUUUACACUAAAGUUGAGAUUUUGCAUGAGCUUUCCCUUUGGUACCAAGUUUGGGGCACCCAUAUUGGACUUUGCACUAGGUAACUUGGGGCACCGAUAUUGGACUUUGCACUAGGUAACGUACAAAACAUGUUUGAAAAAGAUGAAUACAUAUGCCUAUUGGCUAUAUAUUUUUGACAAUUGACAUGAUAGUGUUUUUGAAAAAGCAAAUAUGUUUGUAGAAGAAUGACAAUGUUAUCAUUUUUUUAAAGGGAGGUUAAACACCCGGCCUCUACAUCAUUAUGAUGCACACAACCAUAUUUUACUGAAGUUGAUGCAAGGCAACAACGUCAGAUUCAUCAACAAAUGAAGUACAAAACAUAGGAAACUACGAUACACCCAUUACAACAUAUGAAUUUGACACCUAUGACUAAGUCGAAUAUUUUCCCAAUAACACAUUCAAGAAGGGAUAAACGCCCUCACGCCACCAUUAUCACAUCCGUUUGGAGACGAUCAGGACCGUUGUUCUCCAAUCUCCAAUAUGUGUGGUUUGUUUUUAAAUAUGGUACUAAUAUUUCUCUUUAUCUACUACUUCUGGAUGAUGCAUGCAGUAGUGGUGGAGUAUAUUUAUUUCCUUACAGCAUGGGUUCUUAUGAUUCUUGCAAGUAUGGAAUAUAGUUUGGAUACUUAAAUUUAUUUGGUAUACUAGUUGUAAGUGCAGAUUUAUUUAUUUGUGUGCGUAUAUUAUGUUUCUUAGAAAUAAUCGUAAAUUUAAAGAGUGAUGGUGAAAUCAUUUUUUAGCCUAAAAUUUCAGAUCUCAGAAAUUACAAUAUUUUUCUUCUUCUAUUCCGAGUAUUAUGCAUCACAAAUAACUCAUGUACAUGCACGAUUAUAUAUGCCAUAUACAAAUAUAUGGUAAGUUUUUCAUUAAUUCUUUUAAAAAGCCCCAAUAUUAAUCUUCAAAUAGAACCUAUGAGAGUUUGAUUAGUAAGAGAAUAAAAAGGAAAAGAAAUCAUAUCGAACCCACACAUGUUAAUGUGAACUGAGAAUAGCUCAGAUGGUUAAGUCCUUGUGGUGAAACCAACCCACCAGGGUUUAAGUCCUACACUUGGAAUUGGUGGUUGAAUUUUCUGGAUUAUUUUAGACCUUCCGAUGGUGUGUGUUUUGUAGGAUGAGAUGUUCCGAAUGACUAUAAACUGUCUGUGGCGAUUUCGUCAAUCUUAAGAUUAUGUGUCGGAUCAGCCUCUCGAAGAUGCUCAUAGGGUGUGUACGUGCGUGCGUUCAUAGGUGUGACUAUGUGCGCGUAUGUAUGAGUGUCUGCGUCUUACCUGUGUUAAAAUAAAUAAAUAAAUAAAUGUAUGUACAAUAAUAAUUGUUAAACUAACUAGUUACAAUCAACGGGGAACAAAAUGUGCUCUCCCAUAUAUUUGUCAUGCCAGCAAAUUUUAUGUCCAAACUCCAUUGUGUUUUCAUGACAUAGUAAAAUGAGGUGACCUUACUUGGGAACUUUCAUAGGUUAUGAAUGCAUGGAACAUGAACAAAUUAGCAUCUAUUCAUUAGGUUUUAGUUGUCUAUAGUUUUGCGUUAGUUACCAAGGAUAGACAUUCUUACCAUUUUCUUUCUACCAUUUUUACCAUGAGUGCUGAUAUGCACAUGAUAUGUUUCAGCCGAUUGUUGGACGAUAUUGUAAAUCAGGCAUCCGUACCCAGGACUAGGUGCAAAACAACCAGUAGAUUAACUACCGUGCCUGAACCGUCCAACAGGUGUCAUCUGUGAAGUAGUUUCACACCUGCAUACAUUGUUUUGUAAUUCACGUGUAAGGAUAUUUCUAGGAGGGGGUUCAAAGACGUUGUAUCACAAGACAUGGCACAAGGAGCAAUAUUGUUACAUUGGUACAAAGUGAAAACAGGGCAAAAAGUCACGUGAGUGACCUGUGUUGUGCAAAGUGCAAUGCUCAAACUAGUAUGGUUCUCCUACAAUUGCGCGGGGAACAUGUGCUUGCCUUACACAUAUUUUUCACUUUAUUCAUGUUUUUAUUGUUGCAAUUACGUCGAAGCAACAAUCGAAUUUGUAGUGGUAGGUGAUACUGAAUCAAUUUGUUGGAUAUAACAUAAUUACCUUCAACUAAUUACGAUUUAUAAAAGGUAAUAUAGUUUCGCAAUUACACUGGGACAAAAUUUCCAUUUUAGCAUUAUAUUGGAUCAAUACAGGAAGUCAACCAAGAUUGCUUUAUUGGUAUUGGACAUAUUUUAGUCGUCUUAGCUCUUAAACAUUCCUAUGGGUUUGUCCUUGCACGUUGUUUGCAUUUGCUAAACCAUUAGAUAGUGAAAUUGGCUUUUUCUAAUACAAGGAAUAGGUAAUAUUUUAUUAAAACUUUAUUAUAGUAUAGAGUAAAAUGCACAUGCAAAUAAGUAAUUAUUAUAUUACUUACAGCUCGGACCAUAUAUGUUCAACAUUUACACUUUGCACUAGUGGGGCCUAGAUGAUAAUGUAGCUUCGAUCAAGUUUCACCAACUCAUAAUAAGAUAAAAACCAACCAUAUAUAUCCACCGAUUUGACACCAAAUGCCGGGCGGCGAGCGCCAUUCCACUAUCUUUUCUAUUAUCUCUCCGCCGCAUGUUUGGUUUCAUGUUACUGCUUAUUAGGCUGGUCAUAGUGGGAGUAUCACAAGUAGUAUCAUGCAUGACAACUAGACAUAUUUGAUGAGGCGACAUUGAAUUAAAUGAAGAAAGAAAGGGUUGAGUAUCAUAUUAUGAUACCAUAUCAUAUUAAAUGUUGUGUUAUUAUGUGUCGAGCAUGGUAAUAAAUGAACUGUUAUAUGAUACUAGCACAUGAUAUUAUGCAUUACGGAUGUAGUAUCAUACACUAGUAGCAUAUGCAUGGUGUUAGUAUAUGAUACUCCCCAUUACAACCAGCCUUAUAGUAAAGAGUAAAAUGCACAUGCGGAUGAGUAAUUAUUACAACUGCAAUCAACAUGUCCAAAAUUUACACUUUGCACUAGUGGGGCCUAGAAAAUACUAUUUCUUCAAUCAAGUUUUACCAACUCAUAGUAAUUACCAACUGAUAGUAAUAUAAAACCAACUAUAAAUAUUCACCUAUUUGACGCCAAAUACGACAUGGAAAGGGCAAUUCCACUAUCGAAGCGUUUAUUAUUGCAAAUUUAGUAUAACAUGCAACACGAAGUGGUUGACCAAAUUUCAACGACCCACAAUGAGGUUAUUCCUAUUGGUUGACAUUUGGCAAGUAUUUAGAGCGCUAGCCUAAUUGAGAUCCCAACCACAUAUACCAAAUUUGAGCACCACAUAUUUCCUGACAGCCGACAUUAGCAGUGCACAAAUCAUUGUCUAGUGUGGUAGAGUGCAACCACAACAAGUAGCUAAAAUACAGGACAUGAGAGUGAAUGUUGGCAAAUCAAACAAUGAUUUUGCACUGAUUCUUGUAAUUUACAUGAUGGUAGUACAUAGCAGACCAUCCUUCCAGCUCUCAACUCAGCCCUAGAAGGUGUCUUACUUGCCGGGCACGAAGUUGGUGGCAAAUGCCCAUGCAUUGUUGUUGACGGGAUCAGUGAUAUGGUCAGCGAGGUUCUCUAGCGGGCCUUUGCCGGUGACGAUGGCCUGCACAAAGAAGCCAAACAUGGAGAACAUGGCA
rnacentral:lncRNA from 1 species